rnacentral:rRNA from 1 species
GACGUAGGGUGCGAGCGUUGUCCGGAUUUAUUGGGCGUAAAGAGCUCGUAGGCGGCUUGUCGCGUCGACCGUGAAAACUUGGGGCUCAACCCCAAGCCUGCGGUCGAUACGGGCAGGCUAGAGUUCGGUAGGGGAGACUGGAAUUCCUGGUGUAGCGGUGAAAUGCGCAGAUAUCAGGAGGAACACCGGUGGCGAAGGCGGCAUCCUGGACCAACACUGACGCUGAGGCGCGAAAGCUAGGGGAGCAAACGGG